rnacentral:lncRNA from 1 species
UUUUUUUUUUUUUUUAAACGAGGUUUCGCUCUUGUUGUUCAGGCUGGAGUGCAAUGGUGCGAACUCGGCUCACCGCAACCUCUGCUUCCCGGGUUCAAGCGAUUAUCCUGCCUCAGCCUCCGAAGUAGCUGGGAUUACAGGCACACACCACAUUGCCCGGCUAAUUUUGUAUUUUUAGUAGAUGGGGUUUCUCCAUGUUGGUCAGGCUGGUCUCACACUCCCGACCUCAGGUGAUCUGCUCGCCUUGGCCUCCCAAAGUGCCGAGAUUACAGGCUUCAGCCACCGGCGCCUGGCUGGUUAUAGCUUUUUAAAACAAUUUGCUUAUUGUUUCUUAGUUUGUAGAAAGUUUCUCUUGGAGAUUUGUGAAGGAAAUACAUGUGAUCGCUUUUGUGAUGUGUUCAGAUGGAAAGAAAAUCUAACUUUCAUAAGAAAAAUUGUAUCACACUAGAUGCAGGAAAAAAAUAGAUAUUCGAAGAACCACAUACCAGAUGCAGAUGAAAUGUAAUGUAUAAAGACUAUUUUUAUAAUGAUUUUUUAAAUUUAGAUUUUUACAAUAUGGAUUUUAAAAUUUUAUUUCACUUUUAAUUGACUAAUUUUAUACAUUUAUAAGGUACAAUAUGUUGUUUCAAUACAUGUAUACAUUGCAAAAUGAUCAAAUCAGGCUAAUUAACAUAUCUAUCACCUUACAUUCUUAUUAUUUCUUUGUAGUGAGAAUAUCUAAAAUUGAAAUACAGUCCUUUUUAUUGUAACUGAGAGAAACAAGAGCAAUGUAUAUGUGGUAGAAUUUAAAAGUCAUAUGUGUAUAUUUAUAUAUGUACAUCUACGUACAAUUGCCUGUGUACAUAUAAUUAUCUGCUAUAUAUUAUGCAUAUGUAAUACAUAUGCACCUGUGUAAGUUGGAAUUCUUAUCUAUUCUAUAGAAAGAAAAGUUCUACAUUGAAAUAUAGCCAACAUCCAGUUAACUCUGAAAAAAAAUCACAUCAUUGCUUGGCUUUUUCUGUUGUUACUUCCUGUUGGCCUAGUGGCAAUGAUUCAUUAUAAUGCAAUGUAAUUCAAUAUCACAUGGUGAAUUUAAAUGGCUGUAUAGGAAAUCUGUAACACUGUUCUUGCUUAAAAAUGUAAAACUUCAAUAGAAGGCGGUUCAUCAGAGAAUUUGGUAACACCAAAUAGUAAACGCUUUGAUUUCAGUAAUACUAAGACCCUGAUAGAAUUAAAAUGUGACUGAAUUUUACUUCUUAGUAAUUAUUUUAUAGCUAAUAUGUAAAAAAAAAAAAA